UUUGGUGGCGACCGGCGCACGGGUGAGUAACACGUAUCCAACCUGCCGAUGACUCGGGGAUAGCCUUUCGAAAGAAAGAUUAAUACCCGAUGGCAUAGUUCUUCCGCAUGGUAGAACUAUUAAAGAAUUUCGGUCAUCGAUGGGGAUGCGUUCCAUUAGGUUGUUGGCGGGGUAACGGCCCACCAAGCCUUCGAUGGAUAGGGGUUCUGAGAGGAAGGUCCCCCACAUUGGUACUGAGACACGGACCAA
rnacentral:rRNA from 1 species